rnacentral:rRNA from 1 species
GAUGAACGCUGGCGGCGUGCCUAAUACAUGCGAGUCGAGCGAACAGACGAGGAGCUUGCUCCUCUGACGUUAGCGGCGGACGGGUGAGUGACACGUGGAUAACCUACUUAUAAGACUGGGUUAACUUCGGGAAACCGGGGCUAUUACCGGAUAAUAUAUUGAACGGAUGGGUUCAAUAGUGAAGGACGGUUUGGCGGGCACUUAUGGAUGGUUCCGCGCCGCAUUAGCUAGUGGGUAAGGUAACGGCUUACCAAGGCAACGAUGCGUACCCGACCGGAGAGGGUGAUCGGCCACACUGGAACUGAGACACGGUCCAGACUCCUACGGGAGGCAGCAGUAGGGAAUCUUCCGCAAUGGGCGAAAGCCUGACGGAGCAACGCCGCGUGAGUGAUGAAGGUCUUCGGAUCGUAAAACUCUGUUAUUAGGGAAGAACAAAUGUGUAAGUAACUAUGCACGUCUUGACGGUACCUAAUCAGAAAGCCACGGCUAACUACGUG